ACGGGGGGGGGCAAGCGUUGUUCGGAAUUACUGGGCGUAAAGGGCGCGUAGGCGGCCUUCUAAGUCAGACGUGAAAUCCCCCGGCUUAACCUGGGAACUGCGUCUGAUACUGGGGGGCUUGAGUGCGGGAGAGGGAUGCGGAAUUCCAGGUGUAGCGGUGAAAUGCGUAGAUAUCUGGAGGAACACCGGUGGCGAAGGCGGCAUCCUGGACCGACACUGACGCUGAGGCACGAAAGCGUGGGGAGCAAACAGGA
rnacentral:rRNA from 1 species